rnacentral:rRNA from 1 species
UGGGGAAUUUUGGACAAUGGGGGAAACCCUGAUCCAGCCAUCCCUCGUGUGCUAUGAAUGCCUUCGGGUUGUAAAGCACUUUUGGCAGGAUAGAAACGUCAUGGGCUAAUACCCCGUGAAACUGACGUUACCUGCAGACUAAGCACCGGCUAACUACGUGCCAGCAGCCGCGGUAAUACGUAGGGUGCAAGCGUUAAUCGAAAUUACUUGGCGUAAAGCGUGCGCAGGCGGUUCGGAAAGAAAGAUGUGAAAUCCCAGAGCUCAACUUUGGAACUGCAUUUUUAACUACCGGACUAGAGUGUGUCAGAGGGAGGUGGAAUUCCACGUGUAGCAGUGAAAUGCGUAGAUAUGCAGGGGAACACCGAUGGCGAAGGCAGCCUCCUGGGAUAACACUGACGCUCAUGCACGAAAGCGUGGGGAGCAAACAGG